GACGAACGCUGGCGGCGUGCUUAACACAUGCAAGUCGAACGGAAAGGCCCUGCUUUUGUGGGGUGCUCGAGUGGCGAACGGGUGAGUAACACGUGAGUAACCUGCCCUUGACUUUGGGAUAACUUCAGGAAACUGGGGCUAAUACCGGAUAGGAGCUCCUGCUGCAUGGUGGGGGUUGGAAAGUUUCGGCGGUUGGGGAUGGACUCGCGGCUUAUCAGCUUGUUGGUGGGGUAGUGGCUUACCAAGGCUUUGACGGGUAGCCGGCCUGAGAGGGUGACCGGCCACACUGGGACUGAGAGACGGCCCAGACUGCUACGGGAGGCAGCAGUGGGGAAUAUUGCACAAUGGGCGGAAGUCGGAUGCAGCAACGCCCGGUGCGGGAUGACGGUCUUCGGGUUGUAAACCGCUUUCGCCUGUGACGAAGCGUGAGUGACGGUAAUGGGUAAAGAAGCACCGGCUAACUACGUG
rnacentral:rRNA from 1 species